CUGAAACCGUGUACGUACAAGCAGUGGGAGCACAGAGCAAUCUGUGUGACUGCGUACCUUUUGUAUAAUGGGUCAGCGACUUAUAUUCUGUAGCAAGGUUAACCGAAUAGGGGAGCCGAAGGGAAACCGAGUCUUAACUGGGCGUUAAGUUGCAGGGUAUAGACCCGAAACCCGGUGAUCUAGCCAUGGGCAGGUUGAAGGUUGGGUAACACUAACUGGAGGACCGAACCGACUAAUGUUGAAAAAUUAGCGGAUGACUUGUGGCUGGGGGUGAAAGGCCAAUCAAACCGGGAGAUAGCUGGUUCUCCCCGAAAGCUAUUUAGGUAGCGCCUCGUGAAUUCAUCUCCGGGGGUAGAGCACUGUUUCGGCAAGGGGGUCAUCCCGACUUACCAACCCGAUGCAAACUGCGAAUACCGGAGAAUGUUAUCACGGGAGACACACGGCGGGUGCUAACGUCCGUCGUGAAGAGGGAAACAACCCAGACCGCCAGCUAAGGUCCCAAAGUCAUGGUUAAGUGGGAAACGAUGUGGGAAGGCCCAGACAGCCAGGAUGUUGGCUUAGAAGCAGCCAUCAUUUAAAGAAAGCGUAAUAGCUCACUGGUCGAGUCGGCCUGCGCGGAAGAUGUAACGGGGCUAAACCAUGCACCGAAGCUGCGGCAGCGACACUGUGUGUUGUUGGGUAGGGGAGCGUUCUGUAAGCCUGUGAAGGUGUGCUGUGAGGCAUGCUGGAGGUAUCAGAAGUGCGAAUGCUGACAUAAGUAACGAUAAAGCGGGUGAAAAGCCCGCUCGCCGGAAGACCAAGGGUUCCUGUCCAACGUUAAUCGGGGCAGGGUGAGUCGACCCCUAAGGCGAGGCCGAAAGGCGUAGUCGAUGGGAAACAGGUUAAUAUUCCUGUACUUGGUGUUACUGCGAAGGGGGGACGGAGAAGGCUAUGUUGGCCGGGCGACGGUUGUCCCGGUUUAAGCGUGUAGGCUGGUUUUCCAGGCAAAUCCGGAAAAUCAAGGCUGAGGCGUGAUGACGAGGCACUACGGUGCUGAAGCAACAAAUGCCCUGCUUCCAGGAAAAGCCUCUAAGCAUCAGGUAACAUCAAAUCGUACCCCAAACCGACACAGGUGGUCAGGUAGAGAAUACCAAGGCGCUUGAGAGAACUCGGGUGAAGGAACUAGGCAAAAUGGUGCCGUAACUUCGGGAGAAGGCACGCUGAUAUGUAGGUGAAGUCCCUCGCGGAUGGAGCUGAAAUCAGUCGAAGAUACCAGCUGGCUGCAACUGUUUAUUAAAAACACAGCACUGUGCAAACACGAAAGUGGACGUAUACGGUGUGACGCCUGCCCGGUGCCGGAAGGUUAAUUGAUGGGGUCAGCGCAAGCGAAGCUCUUGAUCGAAGCCCCGGUAAACGGCGGCCGUAACUAUAACGGUCCUAAGGUAGCGAAAUUCCUUGUCGGGUAAGUUCCGACCUGCACGAAUGGCGUAAUGAUGGCCAGGCUGUCUCCACCCGAGACUCAGUGAAAUUGAACUCGCUGUGAAGAUGCAGUGUACCCGCGGCAAGACGGAAAGACCCCGUGAACCUUUACUAUAGCUUGACACUGAACAUUGAGCCUUGAUGUGUAGGAUAGGUGGGAGGCUUUGAAGUGUGGACGCCAGUCUGCAUGGAGCCGACCUUGAAAUACCACCCUUUAAUGUUUGAUGUUCUAACGUGGACCCGUGAUCCGGGUUGCGGACAGUGUCUGGUGGGUAGUUUGACUGGGGCGGUCUCCUCCUAAAGAGUAACGGAGGAGCACGAAGGUUGGCUAAUCCUGGUCGGACAUCAGGAGGUUAGUGCAAUGGCAUAAGCCAGCUUGACUGCGAGCGUGACGGCGCGAGCAGGUGCGAAAGCAGGUCAUAGUGAUCCGGUGGUUCUGAAUGGAAGGGCCAUCGCUCAACGGAUAAAAGGUACUCCGGGGAUAACAGGCUGAUACCGCCCAAGAGUUCAUAUCGACGGCGGUGUUUGGCACCUCGAUGUCGGCUCAUCACAUCCUGGGGCUGAAGUAGGUCCCAAGGGUAUGGCUGUUCGCCAUUUAAAGUGGUACGCGAGCUGGGUUUAGAACGUCGUGAGACAGUUCGGUCCCUAUCUGCCGUGGGCGCUGGAGAACUGAGGGGGGCUGCUCCUAGUACGAGAGGACCGGAGUGGACGCAUCACUGGUGUUCGGGUUGUCAUGCCAAUGGCACUGCCCGGUAGCUAAAUGCGGAAGAGAUAAGUGCUGAAAGCAUCUAAGCACGAAACUUGCCCCGAGAUGAGUUCUCCCUGACCCUUUAAGGGUCCUGAAGGAACGUUGAAGACGACGACGUUGAUAGGCCGGGUGUGUAAGCGCAGCGAUGCGUUGAGCUAACCGGUACUAAUGAACCGUGAGGCUUAACCUUACAACGCCGAAGGUGUUU
rnacentral:rRNA from 1 species